AUUGAACGCUGGCGGCAUGCCUUACACAUGCAAGUCGAACGGCACCACGGGAGCAAUCCUGGUGGCGAGUGGCGAACGGGUGAGUAAUGCAUCGGAACGUGCCCAGUCGUGGGGGAUAACUGCUCGAAAGAGCAGCUAAUACCGCAUACGACCUGAGGGUGAAAGCGGGGGACCGUAAGGCCUCGCGCGAUUGGAGCGGCCGAUGUCAGAUUAGGUAGUUGGUGGGGUAAAGGCCUACCAAGCCUGCGAUCUGUAGUUGGUCUGAGAGGAUGACCAGCCACACUGGGACUGAGACACGGCCCAGACUCCUACGGGAGGCAGCAGUGGGGAAUUUUGGACAAUGGGCGCAAGCCUGAUCCAGCAAUGCCGCGUGCAGGAAGAAGGCCUUCGGGUUGUAAACUGCUUUUGUACGGAACGAAACGGCUCUGGUUAAUACCCGGGGCUAAUGACGGUACCGUAAGAAUAAGCACCGGCUAACUACGUGCCAGCAGCCGCCGUAACAC
rnacentral:rRNA from 1 species